rnacentral:rRNA from 1 species
AAAGUGUAUAGAGUGGCGCACGGGUGAGUAACACGUAGGUUAUCUACCUCCGAGUGGGGAAUAACAACCGGAAACGGUUGCUAAUACCGCAUAAUACCGAAAGGUCAAAGCUUUAGUGCUUGGAGAGGAGCCUGCGGCAGAUUAGCUAUUGGUAAGGUAAUGGCUUACCAAGGCGACGAUCUGUAUACGGUCUAAGAGGACGGUCGGACACACUGACACUGAAUAACGGGUCAG